AUUGAACGCUGGCGGCAGGCUUAACACAUGCAAGUCGAGCGGGGUGAUGGUGCUUGCACUAUCACUUAGCGGCGGACGGGUGAGUAAUGCUUAGGAAUCUGCCUAUUAGUGGGGGACAACAUCUCGAAAGGGAUGCUAGUACCGCAUACGUCCUACGGGAGAAAGCAGGGGAUCACUUGUGACCUUGCGCUAAUAGAUGAGCCUAAGUCGGAUUAGCUAGUUGGUGGGGUAAAGGCCUACCAAGGCGACGAUCUGUAGCGGGUCAGAGAGGAAUGUCGCCCACAGUGGGAGGGGGACACGCACCAGACGCCAGCGGGAGGCAGCAGGGGGGAAUGUGGAACAAUGGGGGGAACCCUGAUCCAGCCAGGCGGGGUGGGUGAAGAAGGCCUUGUUGUGGUAAAGCACUUUAAGCGAGGAGGAGGCUCUUUUGGUUAAUACCCAAGAUGAGUGGACGUUACUCGAAGAAAAAGCACCGGCUAACUCUGUGCCAGCCGCCGCGGUAA
rnacentral:rRNA from 1 species